GGGCCUGUAGCUCAGUUUAGGGUGUUUAACGCUUUCACUCUCUGAAAUGGUUAGAGCGUCCGGCUCAUAACCGGAUGGUCGUGGGUUCAAAUCCCCCCAGGCCCA
rnacentral:tRNA from 1 species